rnacentral:rRNA from 1 species
UCGAGGGGCAGCACGAUAAAGAGUUUACUCUUUAUGGUGGCGACCGGCGGACGGGUGCGUAACGCGUAUGCAACCUGCCUGACACAGGGGGAUAAUCCGAAGAAAUUUGGUCUAAUACCCCAUAAUACCGAUGUAGGCAUCUAUGUUGGUUGAAAACUCCGGUGGUGUCAGAUGGGCAUGCGUUGUAUUAGCUAGUUGGUGAGGUAACGGCUCACCAAGGCGACGAUACAUAGGGGGACUGAGAGGUUAACCCCCCACAUUGGUACUGAGACACGGACCAAACUCCUACGGGAGGCAGCAGUGAGGAAUAUUGGUCAAUGGACGCAAGUCUGAACCAGCCAUGCCGCGUGCAGGAAGACGGCUCUAUGAGUUGUAAACUGCUUUUGUACGAGGGUAAACGCAGAUACGUGUAUCUGUCUGAAAGUAUCGUACGAAUAAGGAUCGGCUAACUCCGUGCCAGCAGCCGCGGAAUACGGAGGAUUCAAGCGUUAUCCGGAUUUAUUGGGUUUAAAGGGUGCGUAGGCGGUCGGAUAAGUUAGAGGUGAAAUCCCGGGGCUCAACUUCGGAAUUGCCUCUGAUACUGUUCGGCUAGAGAGUAGUUGCGGUAGGCGGAAUGUAUGGUGUAGCGGUGAAAUGCUUAGAGAUCAUACAGAACACCGAUUGCGAAGGCAGCUUACCAAGCUACUUCUGACGUUGAGGCACGAAAGCGUGGGGAGCAAACAGGAUUAGAUACCCUGGUAG